AUAUAAUGGCCUUUUGGUUAUGAUCAAGGGCAGGUUCGGUUCUCCUCAGUUUAAUAUCUGGUAUUUCCAGUAUAAGGGGACAAGAUCUUUGGCAGCUGGAGUCAAGAGAGGAGCUUGCUUCAUUCGCUCCACACAUUUCUUGGAUCAAUUAAGUACAAUCUUU
ensembl:snRNA U2 U2 spliceosomal RNA